GCCCCGAUAGCUCAGCCUGGCUAGAGCGGCGAUCUCGUAAGUCGCAGAACGGGGGUUCAAAUCCCCCUCAGGGCUCCA
rnacentral:tRNA from 1 species